rnacentral:ncRNA from 1 species
GGAUCAUUCAAGUGUCUUCCCCUAUCAACUUUCGUCGGUACGGUAUUUGCCUACCGAGGUUCUUACGGGUGACGGGGAAUCAGGGUUCGAUUCCGGAGAGGGAGCCUGAGAAACGGCUACCACAUCCAAGGAAGGCAGCAGGCGCGCAAAUUACCCAUUCCCGACGCGGGGAGGUAGUGACGAAAAAUAACAAUGCAGGACUCGUUCGAGGCCCUGUAAUUGGAAUGAGUACACUUUAAAAGCUUUAACGAGUAUCCAUUGGAGGGCAAGUCUGGUGCCAGCAGCCGCGGUAAUUCCAGCUCCAAAAGUAUAUAUUUAAGUUGUUGCGGUUAAAAAGCUCGUAGUUGGAUUUUGGGCGCAGGCGGCCGGUCCGUCGCAAGGCGUGUACUGGACGUCCUGGCCUUCCCUCCGGUUCUCCGCCGGUGCUCUUGACUGAGUGUCGGCGGCGGCCGGAACGUUUACUUUGAAAAAAUUAGAGUGUUCAAAGCAGGCUCUCGAGCCUGGAUAAUGGUGCAUGGAAUAAUGGAAUAGGACCUCGGUUCUAUUUUGUUGGUUUUCGGAGCGCGAGGUAAUGAUUAAGAGGGACAGACGGGGGCAUUCGUACUGUGCCGUUAGAGGUGAAAUUCUUGGAUCGGCGCAAGACGAACGACUGCGAAAGCAUUUGCCAAGAAUGUUUU